UACGGAGGGUGCGAACGUUUAAUCGGAAUCACUGGGCGUAAAGCGCGCGUAGGCGGUUCGUUAAGUGGGAUGUGAAAUCCCCGGGCUUAACCUGGGAAUUGCAUUUCAAACUGGCCGACUAGAGUACGGUAGAGGGAGGUAGAAUUUCCUGUGUAGCGGUGAAAUGCGUAGAUAUAGGAAGGAAUACCAGUGGCGAAGGCGGCCUCCUGGAUCGAUACUGACGCUGAGGCGCGAAAGCGUGGGGAGCAAACAGG
rnacentral:rRNA from 1 species